rnacentral:rRNA from 1 species
AGGACGAACGCUGGUGGCGUGCUUAACACAUGCAAGUCGAGCGGAAAGGCCCUUCGGGGUACUCGAGCGGCGAACGGGUGAGUAACACGUGAGUAAUCUGCCCCUAGCUCUGGGAUAGCUCCGGGAAACCGGGAUUAAUACCAGAUACGACCACUUUAGACAUCUGUCGUGGUGGAAAGGAUUCCGGCUAGGGAUGGGCUCGCGGCCUAUCAGCUUGUUGGUGGGGUAACGGCCUACCAAGGCGACGACGGGUA